UACCCGCUUUUAAAAGUGAUUUAAUUUGGUUUCCAAGUUACUGAUUUUGCUUUUAAUAGGUCUCUUCCGUUAAGUAGCUUGCAACGACGUUAACUUUACACUUACGUAGCGAUAUUUUUCUUCUCUCUCCUCUAUUAUUCCUGACACUUCUUUCUCUCUCUCCUGUUUCUCUCUCUCACCUCACCAUUAUAACAUCAUUAUAAUUACCUCUCUCACCUUUUUCUCUCUCUUCUAUUUCUCUCUAUUUUAUUUCUCUCUCUCCAUUAUAACAUCAUUCUAUGGACCUUCUAUCUUUUUUCUGGUGCAUUGCAUUUGCAGAUUCAAUAAUCAAUGAUAAUAAUAAUAGUAUUAUUAUUAUUUCAAGUCCGGAGAGCCCUGCAUGAAGGAAACGUCAGAUCAUGAAGAAUAUGAAAGCUGGUAUACUAGCUUCCUUUCGCUGAAGAAGCAUAACGCAACCUAUUCUGACCUUUAAACCAAUACAGAAAGAACUAAUCUUCAAACGAAUGAAGAGGUUGCGAUUAAGCUUGAAACUGUGAAAACCAAGCACCCUCAACUGUUGUAUGAAUCGAAGCUGUAUAAAAUUCUGCAAGGAGGAAGUAGGCUCUCUUCUUGGUGAAAUUGUUUUUGUGAAAUUUGUAUUUGUUGUUGGUUUGUGAUGCUUACUUAGCUUAAAUGUUUUUGGUUGACCAUUUUUAUUUGAGAGACAAUUUCUGACUAUUCUUAUGCUUGCUGAUCAGAUGGUAGGUUUUUCCCUAUUGCGGAGACAUCUUUCUUAAUUCUGACCCACCUUAAGUGAUGUUGUUUAUACAUUUUUAACUGCUUACAAAUAAAUCGAGUUGAAUUUGUUCAUUCCAAAUCUUUUUUACAUCACAACAUCAAACCAGACAACUUCCUUAUGGGUUUAGGAAGGCGUGCAAAUCAAGUAUGUAGUCAAUUGUUGCUUUUUAAUUCUUUAUCUUGUCAUAUAUUUGAUGUAUCAUCUUCGCAUCUGCCUCAUUUAAGGUGUAUAUCAUUGACUUUGGCCUUGCUAAGAAAUAUACAGACACAUCUACACAUCAGCAUAUCCCAUACAGUCUGCCUUGGCAGGGAUUGAAAGCUGGUACUAAGAAGCAGAAGUACGAGAAGAUUAGUGAGAAGAAAGUUUCUACUUCUAUUGAGGUGUGAUUGUGUAGUUAAGAAGGUUUUUUGUUUACUAUCACAUGUCCAUAUUUUGGUUC